UACGGAGGGGGCUAGCGUUGUUCGGGAUUACUGGGCGUAAAGCGCACGUAGGCGGCUUUGUAAGUUAGAGGUGAAAGCCUGGAGCUUAACUCCAGAAUUGCCUUUAAGACUGCAUCGCUUGAAUCCGAGAGAGGUGAGUGGAAUUCCGAGUGUAGAGGUGAAAUUCGUAGAUAUUCGGAAGAACACCAGUGGCGAAGGCGGCUCACUGGCUCGGUAUUGACGCUGAGGUGCGAAAGCGUGGGGAGCAAACAGG
rnacentral:rRNA from 1 species